CUUUGAGCCGUGAUGUGAAUAAUUUUUCUGCGUUAUCUUUCUGCAACUCUUUUGGAGUAGUGAAGAUGACUAUAAACCACUGAGUUCAUCU